AGCGAACGUUAGCGGCGGGCCUAACACAUGCAAGUCGAGCGAGAAAGUGGCUUCGGCCAUCAGUAAAGCGGCGGACGGGUGAGUAACACGUAGGUAAUCUUCCCUUGAGCGGGGGACAACGUUUCGAAAGGAACGCUAAUACCGCAUACGUUUCCAGGGACUCUGGUCUUUGGAAGGAAAGCUAGGUCGCAAGAUCCGGCACUCGAGGAGGAGCCUGCGUCGCAUCAGCAGUUGGUGGGGUAACGGCCUACCAAGGCGAAGACGCGUAGCUGGUCUGAGAGGAUGAUCAGCCACACUGGGACUGAGACACGGCCCAGACUCCUACGGGAGGCAGCAGUGGGGAAUAUUGGACAAUGGGCGCAAGCCUGACGCAGCGACG
rnacentral:rRNA from 1 species